rnacentral:miRNA from 15 species
CCUCCCUUUGGCUUCUACUAC